rnacentral:rRNA from 1 species
AACGAACGCUGGCGGCAGGCCUAACACAUGCAAGUCGAGCGAAGCCUUCGGGCUUAGCGGCGGACGGGUGAGUAACGCGUGGGAACGUGCCCUUUGGUACGGAAUAGCCCCGGGAAACUGGGAGUAAUACCGUAUGUGGUCGAGAGACGAAAGAUUUAUCGCCAAAGGAUCGGCCCGGGUUGGAUUAGGUAGUUGGUGGGGUAAUGGCCUACCAAGCCGACGAUCCAUAGCUGGUUUGAGAGGAUGAUCAGCCACACGGGGAUUGAGACCAGGCCCAGACUCCUACGGGAGGCAGCAGUGGGGAAUCUUAGACAAUGGGGGAAACCCUGAUCUAGCCAUGCCGCGUGAUCGAUGAAGGCCUUAGGGUUGUAAAGAUCUUUCAGUGGGGAAGAUAAUGACUGUACCCACAGAAGAAGCCCCGGCUAACUCCGUGCCAGCCGCCGCGGUAACAC